rnacentral:rRNA from 1 species
AGAAAUCCAAAAGAUCGAAUAGGGAGAUUCAUCGUCAAUAUAUUUAAUAUAUAUUCAUAUUAUGAUAUUAAUUUUUUUGGCUUUAUUGUCAUUAUAAAUUUWUACAUAUAUGUAUUAUUUUAUUGUUAAAUAUUGUCGGCGUGCACUUCUCCCUUAGUAGGACGUCGCGACCCGUUAGGUGUCGGUCUACGGCCUGAUUGGGUAGCCUUUGAUUUUAUUUUAAAAUUAAAGACCGAUUAGUGUUUCCUGACCGACUGCCUGGCGGUACUCAUAUGGUAUUAAGUCGCAAUUUAUUUGCGUCCAUACCCGUCGCAAGCGAGGCUAGUUUAAAAAUAAUUCUGGUAGUACGGGCUUAGUACCGUCGCUAGUCCUAGCCAGCUGUUAGCUGUUACGGUGUUCUGGGACUGACUUAAAAAAAUAAUACCGGUCUGCGAUGCUACUGCUUUGGAUACUUUCAGGACCCGUCUUGAAACACGGACCAAGGAGUCUAACAUGUGCGCAAGUCAUUGGGAUUUUUUUUUAAAAUUAAACCUAAAGGCAUAAUGAAAGUAAAGAUCAUCCUUGUGUUGAUUAAGGGAAGAUGAUUUAUAUUACGAUAUAAUUCCGCAUUCCCGGGGCGUCUCAUUUAUAUUACAUAAAGAGGCGCACCCAG